rnacentral:piRNA from 1 species
UCUGAUGGGCUAAGUUUUACUGAUAGGGUU